rnacentral:piRNA from 1 species
UAGAACAUGCAGCUAUGAUGA